GACGAACGCUGGCGGCGUGCUUAACACAUGCAAGUCGAACGGAAAGGCCCCUUCGGGGGUACUCGAGUGGCGAACGGGUGAGUAACACGUGAGUAACCUGCCCUUGACUUCGGGAUAACUUCAGGAAACUGGGGCUAAUACCGGAUAGGAAUCCUUGCUGCAUGGUGGGGGUUGGAAAGCUUCGGCGGUUUUGGAUGGACUCGCGGCUUAUCAGCUUGUUGGUGGGGUAGUGGCUUACCAAGGCUUUGACGGGUAGCCGGCCUGAGAGGGCGACCGGCCACAUUGGGACUGAGAAACGGCCCAGACUCCUACGGGAGGCAGCAGUGGGGAAUAUUGCACAAUGGGCGGAAGCCUGAUGCAGCAACGCCGCGUGCGGGAUGACGGCCUUCGGGUUGUAAACCGCUUUCAGCAGGGGCGAAGCUUGUGGUGACGUUACCUGCAGAAGAAGCACCGGCUAACUACGUG
rnacentral:rRNA from 1 species